AUAGAAUACAGCCCAGUUGGUGCUCGCGAAGACGGUUCACGGUUCGCAGUUCAACGGGAAGCAGGAGGGAAAAGCCACCACGGCCGACCUAACCUGCGCUGCCCCCGCAACGGUAAGCAGACGGGUCUUCAUUUGCGUGAAGACCUCGCUUUCAUCUGAUGCCACUGGUCGCCCUGAAACAGGCGACCGGGAAGGUGAUGAAGGUCGCAUCUGCCAGCCCGGAUACCGGCCAACAAGGUGACCUGUCG
rnacentral:ncRNA from 2 species